GAUGAAGAACGCAGCGAAAUGCGAUACGUAAUGUGAAUUGCAGAAUUCAGUGAAUCAUCGAAUCUUUGAACGCACAUUGCGCCUGCCAGCACUCUGGCAGGCAUGCCUGUUCGAGCGUCAUUUCAACCAUCAAGCCCUAGGCUUGCGUUGGAGCCCUGCGGCUGCCGCAGGCCCCUAAAAGCAGUGGCGGGCUCGCUAUCACACCGAGUGCAGUAGAUACUCUUCGCUCAGGGCGUGUGGCGGGUUCCAGCCGUGAAACCCCCUACUUCUCAAGGUUGACCUCGGAUCAGGUAGGAAUACCCGCUGAACUUAAGCAUAUCAAUAAGCGGAGGA
rnacentral:misc_RNA from 1 species